rnacentral:rRNA from 1 species
GCAUAUCAAUAAGCGGAGGAAAAGAAACCAACAGGGAUUGCCCUAGUAACGGCGAGUGAAGCGGCAACAGCUCAAAUUUGAAAUCUGGCGCAAGCCCGAGUUGUAAUUGGUAGAGGAUGCUUCAGGGCAGCGGCCGGUCUAAGUUCCUUGGAACAGGACGUCAUAGAGGGUGAGAAUCCCGUAUGCGACCGGUUGGCACCCGUCACGUAGCUCCUUCGACGAGUCGAGUUGUUUGGGAAUGCAGCUCUAAAUGGGAGGUAAAUUUCUUCUAAAGCUAAAUACCGGCCAGAGACCGAUAGCGCACAAGUAGAGUGAUCGAAAGAUGAAAAGCACUUUGGAAAGAGAGUUAAAAAGCACGUGAAAUUGUUGAAAGGGAAGCGCAUGCAACCAGACUUGUCGGCGGUGUUCCGCCGGUCUUCUGACCGGUCUAUUCGCCGCCGGCAGGCCAGCAUCAUCUGGGUGCGCCGGAUAAAGGCGUGGGGAAUGUAGCUCCUCGGAGUGUUAUAGCCCCGCGCACAAUACGGCGCCGCCCGGGUGAGGUCCGCGCUUCGGCUAGGAUGCUGGCGUAAUGGUUGUCUGCGGCCCGUCUUGAAACACGGACCAAGGAGUCUAACAUCUAUGCGAGUGUUCGGGUGUCAAACCCCUACGCGUAAUGAAAGUGAACGGAGGUGGGAAGCGCAAGCUGCACCAUCGACCGAUCCUGAUGUCUUCGGAUGGAUUUGAGUAAGAGCAUAGCUGUUGGGACCCGAAAGAUGGUGAACUAUGCCUGAAUAGGGUGAAGCCAGAGGAAACUCUGGUGGAGGCUCGCAGCGGUUCUGACGUGCAAAUCGAUCGUCAAAUUUGGGUAUAGGGGCGAAAGACUAAUCGAACCAUCUAGUAGCUGGUCCUGCCGAGU